rnacentral:lncRNA from 1 species
AAUAAAAAUGAUAUCAUUAGAUUGCCAAUUUGAGCCGUGUAUGUUGAGUCUUUUAUUUCUUAUCACCAGAUAUGUCUACCCUUAUACCUGAAACAUUUUUUCCUUACCCUUUCCAAGCGAGCAAUGCGAGAUUGUCUUAUGAGAAACGUUUGUGAAGUACUUUGAAGGUGUUUGGCAAAAGAAUAAGUGUGGGGGUAUUUCAUGUUUGUAUUAAAAAAAAAAAAAAAAAAAAGAGAAAAGAGAAGAAAAGAAAAAGAAAAAGAAAGAUUGUAUACAAAUGAAAUAAAAAGUUUUUAAAGUUUCAGUUUAAGGGUGUGGUUGGAGGUGCUAGAAGAAUUGCUGGAGAGCUUGAGUUCUUAUAAAUCUAAAGAAAAGAAUUGCUUGCAAUGUAGCUUGGAACUUGUGUUUUCCUAUUCUAUCGUUUCAAUAACCCUAUCCCUAAACCUCAUUACAUCCAAUAAAAGUCCUCUUGAUUUAAGUUUUGCAAUUAU